CCUACGGGGGGCAGCAGUGGGGAAUUUUGCGCAAUGGGGGCAACCCUGACGCAGCAACGCCGCGUGAGUGAUGAAGGCCUUCGGGUCGUAAAGCUCUGUCAGAGGGGAAGAAAUGCAGGUGGUGAACAACCAUUCUGUUUGACGGUACCCUCAAAGGAAGCACCGGCUAACUCCGUGCCAGCAGCCGCGGUAAUACGGAGGGUGCAAGCGUUGCUCGGAAUCACUGGGUGUAAAGCGCGAGUAGGCGGUUAAUUAAGUCAGAGGUGAAAGCCCACGGCUCAACCGGGGAAGUGCAUCUGAAACUGGUAAGCUAGAGUGUGAGAGAGGGAUGCGGAAUUCCCGGUGUAGCGGUGAAAUGCGUAGAUAUCGGGAGGAACCCCAGUGGCGAAGGCGGCACCCGGGCUAAUAACUGACGCUGAGUCGCGAAAGCGUGGGGAUCAAACAGGAUUAGAUCCCCCUGUAGU
rnacentral:rRNA from 1 species